rnacentral:tRNA from 1 species
AGUAAAAUGUCUGAUUAAAGUAAUAAAUUGUAAAUUUAUUUAUAGAUUAAAAUCUUUUUACUA